UACAGAGGUCUCAAGCGUUGUUCGGAUUCAUUGGGCGUAAAGGGUGCGUAGGCGGCGCGGUAAGUCGGGUGUGAAAUCUCGGAGCUUAACUCCGAAACUGCAUUCGAUACUGCCGUGCUUUGAGGACUGGGAGAGGAGACUGGAAUUUACGGUGUAGCGGUGAAAUGCGUAGAUAUCGUAAGGAAGACCAGUGGCGAAGGCGGGUCUCUGGACAGUUCCUGACGCUGAGGCACGAAGGCCAGGGGAGCAAACGGG
rnacentral:rRNA from 1 species